rnacentral:lncRNA from 1 species
AACAGACAAUUAGAGAGCUUAAAAUGUUGAUUGGUUUCAGUCCGUCAGAUAGUCUGAUUUAGCGCAGUUCCAUGUGUUAUUGUUGUACCUUAGUUUUCAUUUCUCUUUCAUGUACAUAUUAUCACGAUUGUUACAGAAUCUAUAAAAAAUACUCCCUGCCAGUCAAAAUUAGGGCUAAAAAUGCCGAAAUCACUAAUUAAGGAGUACUCAUUGCAAAGAACACUCCACCUUCCCAGGUCACGACAAGUGGCGCACAUGCAGCGCGCCACUUGUCGCAACCUGAUAGUUUUCCCUUUUUUGUAGAUCCGUUUAUUCAAAAUGUUUUAUCUCUUAAACCGUGCGUCCAAAUCUCAAACCGUUUUCACCAUUGGAUUCCUCGCGUCGAGAUCUCCAAAACUAGAUCCCAUGUUGAUAGGUUUUGACACAAAAAAAUUCAUGAAAAAACCGGACCAAAAAACCGAACGAAAAAACAAAACCGGGAGCACGUUUUUUCCCUUUCUGAAAGAGGCACGCCCGUGCCUUUCGCGAAUCACAACCGUGCCUCUCGGGGAAGCAAAACCGUGACUCUCGUGGAAGGAAAAAAAACAGAAAACGCGUUUUUUUCCUUUUCGAAAGAGGCACGCCCGUGACUCUCGCGAAAGCACAACCGUGCCUCUGGCGAAAGCAAAAC